GGGCCCGCACAAGCAGCGGAGCAUGUGGCUUAAUUCGAAGCAACGCGAAGAACCUUACCAGGGCUUGACAUUCAGGUGAAGCGGCGGAAACGUCGUGGCCGAGAGGAGCCUGAACAGGUGGUGCAUGGCUGUCGUCAGCUCGUGUCGUGAGAUGUUGGGUUAAGUCCCGCAACGAGCGCAACCCUCGUCGCAUGUUGCCAGCGGUUCGGCCGGGCACCCAUGCGAGACCGCCGGCGUUAAGCCGGAGGAAGGUGGGGACGACGUCAAGUCAUCAUGCCCCUUAUGUCCGGGGCUGCACACGUGCUACAAUGGUCGGCACAAUGGGCUGCCAGCCCGCGAGGGCGAGCGAAUCCCUAAAGCCGGCCCCAGUUCGGAUUGGAGGCUGCAACCCGCCUCCAUGAAGUCGGAGUUGCUAGUAAUCGCGGAUCAGCACGCCGCGGUGAAUGCGUUCCCGGGCCUU
rnacentral:rRNA from 1 species